GACGAACGCUGGCGGCGUGCUUAACACAUGCAAGUCGAACGGAAAGGCCCUGCUUUUGUUGGGUGCUCGAGUGGCGAACGGGUGAGUAACACGUGAGUAACCUGCCCUUGACUUUGGGAUAACUUCAGGAAACUGGGGCUAAUACCGGAUAGGAGCUCCUGCUGCAUGGUGGGGGUUGGAAAGUUUCGGCGGUUGGGGAUGGACUCGCGGCUUAUCAGCUUGUUGGUGGGGUAGUGGCUUACCAAGGCUUUGACGGGUAGCCGGCCUGAGAGGGUGACCGGCCACAUUGGGACUGAGAUACGGCGCAGACUCCUACGGGAGGCAGCAGUGGGGAAUAUUGCACAAUGGGCGGAAGCCUGAUGCAGCAACGCCGCGUGCGGGAUGACGGCCUUCGGGUUGUAAACCGCUUUCGCCUGUGACGAAGCGUGAGUGACGGUAAUGGGUAAAGAAGCACCGGCUAACUACGUG
rnacentral:rRNA from 1 species